UACGUAGGUGGCAAGCGUUGUCCGGAUUUAUUGGGUUUAAAGGGUGCGUAGGCGGCCCUGUAAGUCAGUGCUGAAAUAUCCCGGCUUAACCGGGAGGGUGGCAUUGAUACUGCAGGGCUUGAGUGAAGUCGAGGUAGGCGGAAUUGACGGUGUAGCGGUGAAAUGCUUAGAUAUCGUCAAGAACACCUAUUGCGAAGGCAGCUUACUAAGCUUUAACUGACGCUGAUGCACGAAAGUGUGGGGAUCAAACAGG
rnacentral:rRNA from 1 species